rnacentral:lncRNA from 1 species
CACAGAGGCCUGCCCGAAGCAAUAUGCAUAUUUAAGAAAAGCUAUAUAAACAACCGUAUAAAGAGAAGUUUGUUAGAAAUGUAAAGCAGAAAGUUGAAGAAACCUUUCUGUCAAGCUUUUUUUUUCUUUAUCAAGGUCUUUUUAAAAGUGAUCUGACCCUCCUCUGAAAUCGCCUGCUCCGGGAAAUGGUUUCUUCUGACCCUGCAUAUGAAAAUGCCUCAACAUUCCUGGGGACUUCGGUAGCAGCCGUCCUUCUCUCAAACAGCAAAGGGACCUUCUGGAACUUGCCACAAACUUUUUAAGGUGAUCUCUUAGGAAGAUAUUCCUAUUUCUGAUGAUGUUUUCUUAAAUAUCUACGCUGUGUAGUUCCCUUAGGUGUAAAGUAAACAGUUUCAGAGAUCAUGCAAGGUCAGGCAUUUGUGUAGGAGGAGUUUAAGUGAGUAAGAGCAGUUCCUGGCUAUGGGGUGGAUUUGGAAAGUUACCCUGUCAUUCUUGGUGAGUCAAAUGAGGAUCAGAAAACACCAGUGAUGGCAUCUCUUUUUCCAAGCUAAGCCAACCUCAGUUAGUUGCUGCUCUUGUGGCGAUGU